ACUUGGCUGGCUCAGUAAGUAGAGCAUGUGACUCUUGAUCUCGGGGUCUUGAGUUCAAGCCUCAUGUUGGGCA
rnacentral:tRNA from 1 species